rnacentral:rRNA from 1 species
UACGUAGGGACCAAGCGUUGUUCGGAUUUACUGGGCGUAAAGGGCGCGUAGGCGGCGCGGUAAGUCACUUGUGAAAUCUCUGAGCUUAACUCAGAACGGCCAAGUGAUACUGCAGUGCUAGAGUGUGGAAGGGGCAAUCGGAAUUCUUGGUGUAGCGGUGAAAUGCGUAGAUAUCAAGAGGAACACCUGAGGUGAAGACGGGUUGCUGGGCCAACACUGACGCUGAUGCGCGAAAGCCAGGGAGCGAACGGG